CGGGACCUUGCUGCUGGGGCCACAGGUUGGGCUGGGAAGAGAGGGAGGUCAGUGAGGACACGAGCCCUGCACCUCUGCGCCGACGGGCCACUCGCGGCCUGCUGGCUCACAGAGUCUGCCCGUGGGGCGAGUGGGCUUGCCUGUUUGGAUGGAGAGGAAGGGGCGGUCCCCAGAAGGAGCGGGAGCCUGAGCUGGGGCGGGACUCCGGAGAGCAGGCAGCGGGAGUGGAUGGGGGUAUCUGCGGAGGGAUGGAGGGCAUCUCCUGAGGGGCUGAGGCCGUGGGGCCCCUUAGCAGAGCAAGAGGGCAACGGUGUGGGGGGCCCACCCCACCAGGAUAGGCUCACAAGAGCCACAGACAGGCAUGGCUGUGAUGGAGCCACAGACAGGCAUGGCUGUGAUGGAGCAGCCACAGACAGGCAUGGCUGUGAUGGACAGCACCCAGGGGGGCUUUCUCUGUGGUCCGGCGCUGUGUCAAGCUCUGCACCGGCCAUGAGUAUGCGGCCAAGAUCAUCAACACGAAGAAGCUGUCGGCCAGAGAUCACCAGAAGCUGGAGAGAGAGGCUCGGAUCUGCCGUCUUCUGAAACAUUCCAACAUCGGUUUGCUUCCAAGGCUUGCUCACGUGGCUGUCGGUGGGAGGCCGGAGCCCUCCCUCCUGGGCGUCUCGUCAGGGCCGCUUGAGUAUCUUCGGGACGUGGUGGUGGGUCCCCAGAGUGCGUGACGACAGGGACACAGAGGGGGACAGACAGAGAGGAACCACCGUGCUUCCUAGACCUAGUGUAGGAGGGGCCCCGCCAUCACCGCACCCGUUCUGUUCUCGGAGGCCAGCACAUGUGAGCGUGGGGGAGCUAAGUUCUCCUCUUAAAGGAAGAGCAUCAGAGCAUUGGGUGCGUUUUGCCCCCCGAGAUGAGCGCAUGGGGCCUCUGCUGAGCUCUCACGCUGGGAGUGGGGUGCUUAGAGCCAUCCCCCUACCACCAGCUUACCCAGGCAGAGCCCUCCCCAGAUGGUACAGUUUCUCUUCGGAGACAAGGGGGUCCCUGGGCAGAGGAGGCAGCCGUGUGGCCUGGCUUCGGCAGUACCUUCUGUGGGAAAUAGGCCUGGGUGUCUGGGAUGGGCCCGACCCAGUGUCCCCCAGCCUCCCUCCGACC